CAGGAAUUUCCAACCAAGUUUGAUUAUGUACAUAUGUACAUGUUAUAAACCACUGUACGUAUGGUUACUGUAUGUAACUUACUAAACAUACAUAACAUGACUUAACUUUGAUACUUUUUUGGUACAUUCCAGAAAACCAGGACCCCCUCCAUGAUGCAGGCUAUGGGGCCACAUAAAACUUUGUCCAGGGACUUACAUCCAUAACAUAGAACGACAACUGUAAACUAUGUACUACUGUACUAAAGAACCCCCUGAAUGAUGUAGGCUAUGGGGCCACAUAAGACUUUGUCCAUCCAGGGUUACAUUGACCGAGAACUUUAAACUAAAGAACCCCCUGAAUGAUGUAGGCUAUGGGGCCACAUAAGACUUUGUCCAUCCAGGGUUACAUUGACCGAGAACUUUAAACUAAAGAACCCCCUGAAUGAUGUAGGCUAUGGGGCCACAUAAGACUUUGUCCAUCCAAGGUUUACAUUGAAAGACAACUUUAAACUAAAG